rnacentral:rRNA from 1 species
CCUACGGGAGGCAGCAGUGGGGAAUCUUGGACAAUGGGCGAAAGCCUGAUCCAGCCAUGCCGCGUGUGUGAAGAAGGCCUUCGGGUUGUAAAGCACUUUCAGCGGGGAAGAAAGCCUUGGGGCUAAUACCCUCGAGGAAGGACAUCACCCACAGAAGAAGCACCGGCUAACUCCGUGCCAGCAGCCGCGGUAAUACGGAGGGUGCGAGCGUUAAUCGGAAUUACUGGGCGUAAAGCGCGCGUAGGCGGUCUGAUAAGCCGGUUGUGAAAGCCCCGGGCUCAACCUGGGAACGGCAUCCGGAACUGUCAGGCUAGAGUGCAGGAGAGGAAGGUAGAAUUCCCGGUGUAGCGGUGAAAUGCGUAGAGAUCGGGAGGAAUACCAGUGGCGAAGGCGGCCUUCUGGACUGACACUGACGCUGAGGUGCGAAAGCGUGGGUAGCAAACAGGAUUAGAUACCCUAGUAGUC